AGGUCAAGCAGAAGAGCAAGCUGGACAGAUGCAGCUGGCGGGGCCUCUGGGGUCGGAUGCUGAAGCUUCGGACACCACAUCCUCUCAGCACACAGAUGUGCAGAGUGAAGACAACAGGGAAACCCAAAGCUGACCUACAGUGGUCAGGGAAGAAUCCCAGGAAUGUGCCUUCCCAUUCCUGACCUACAAAUGAUGUUGAUUUUAUCGGACUCAAACUACUCUGUUGGACCCACAGGUAAGAGUCAUGUUUUAUAAUAAAAUGGUCUCAAAACAUUCUUCCUCCAUAAAAAUUACCCCCAACUUAAUAUUUCAUCACUCUUGCAGCAUUUUCUUCCUCUGACUUCUUUAACACUUAAUUGUCUGUAAUAGUCAUUCAUCCUACUAGUUUUUUUGUUUGUCUUUUUGUUUUUUAGGGCCUCACCUGCGGCAUAUGGAAGUUCCCAGGCUAGGGCUUGAAUCUGAACUGCAGCUGCCACGCUAUGCCACAGCUCACAGCAAUGCCAGAUUUUUAACGCACUGAGCAAGGCCAGGGAUAGAACUGCGUCCUCAUGGAUGCUAGUUGUGGUCAUAACCCACUGAGCCACAAUGGGAACUCCCCCUACUACUUUUCUAUAUACUACUUUACCCUAUUUUUUGACAGGAAUCUUAUAUUCUCAAAAAAAUGUGAAGUUUCUUGAGAACUUUACCUAGUGCAGUGUUUGUCAUAUUUUGUUUACAAUAUCACUAUAAUUCCAUAGGGAAUGUGGGAUGUUCUGUAGGAAAAAAAGGUAAAGAGGUAUGCUCUUUUAAACAUUUGACAAGUUGUAUAUAAUAGAAAAUCAGUUAUUACCUCCAUUUGACUUAUAAAUUCAAAAUUUUAAACUUUUUUUCUUAUGGAAACAAAUUUUUUAAUAACCAUUAACCAAAAAAAAAAUGACUUAAAAUAUUUUUCUGGCUUAAAAAUACAUAUACUUUAAUUUUUUUGCUCUUUUUUAGGGCCGCACCCGCUGUAUAUGGAGGUUCCGAGGCUAGGGGUCCAGUUGGAGCUAUAGCUGCCGUCCUAUGCCACAGCCACAGCAACAUCGGAUCCGAGUCAUGUCUGUGACCUACACUACAGUUCACGGCAAUACCAGAUGCUUAACCCACAGAGAGAGGCCAGAGAUCAAACCCGCAACCUCAUGGUUCCUAGUGGGAUCCAUUUCUGCUGCAUCACGACGGGAACUCCAAAAAAUUUUUUUAUUAAAACUACUCUUUAAGGUUAAUUCUAGAUUCAUGACAAAAUUAAAGGGAAAGUGCAGAGAUUGUCUGUAUAAACUCUGUCACCACACAUGCAUAGCCUCCCUGUUACCAACAUUCCCCCCAGAGUGGUAUAUUUUUCACAAUUGAUGAACCUACAUUGACACAUCAUUAUCACCCAAAGUACCUUGUUUACAAAAUGGUUCACUCUUGAUUUUGUACUUUCUAUGAGUUUGGCUAAAUGCAUAAUGACACAUAUUCAUCAUUAUGGCAUCAUACAGAUUAUUUUCACUAAGAUAUAGAUUUCUCACUAAAAAUCUUCUGCCUAUUUAUUAUUCCCCUCCCUCACAAGCCCCUGAAAACCACUGAUAUUUGUAUGGUCUUCAUACUUUUGCCUUUUACAGAAUGUCAUAUAUUUGGAAUCAUAUACUUUAUAGUCUUUUCUGAUUGGAUUCUUUUACUUAGUAAUGUGCAUUUAAGCCCCUCCAUGUCUUACAAUAAUAGCUCAUUUGCUUUUAGCACUGAAAAAUACUCCAUUGUAUAGAUGUAGCAUAAUUUACUUAUGAAGGAUAUCAGUGUUUUCCAAGUUUUGACAAUGAUGAAUAAAAGCUAUUCUAACCAUGCCUAUGCAGGCUUAUGUAUAGACAAUACCAAGGAAUGAGAUUGCUGGAUUGUAUGGUAAGAGUAUGUUUUGUUUUGUAAGAAAUUGCCAAAUUGUUCUUCCAAAGUGGCUGCACCAUUUUGCAUUCCCACCAGUUAUGAAUGAGAGUUCCUGUUGUUUCACAUCCUCUCCAGCAUUUGAUACUGUCAAUGUUCCAGAUUUUGGCCAUUCUAAUAGGACUAUUGGUAUUUUGCCAUUAUUUAUUUUACAUUUUCCUAAUGGUAUUUGACUUGGAGCAUCUUUUCACAUACCUAUUUGGCAUUUGAAUAUAUUCUUUGGUGAGGUGUCAAGUAAGGCCUUUGGCUCACUUUUUAAUUGAGUUGGUUUUUCCCUUAUCAUUGAGUUUCAAGAGUUAUCUGCAUAUUUUGGAAAAUAGUUCUUUAUCAGAUAUGUAUUUUGCAAAUGUUUUCAGUCUGUGAGUUGUUUUCUCAUUCUCUUGACAUUGAUUUUUGCAGAGCAAAAAAAUGUUUAAUUUUAAUGAAGUCAUGCUUUAUUCUUGCAUGGAUCAUGCUUUUGAUAUUGUAUCUACAAAGGCAUUGACAUACCCAAGGUAAUCUAGGUUUUCUCCAGUGUUAUGUUCUAGGAGUUUUAUGGUGUUGUGUUUUACAUUAAAGUCUGUGUUCCUUUUCGAAUUAUUUUUUUGUGACAAGGUCUGUGUUUUGAUUCCUAGUUUUGCAUGUAGAUAUUUAGUUGUUUCAACACCAGUUCUUGAAAACACCGUCUUUGCUCCAUUUUAUUACUUUGUGCCUUUAUCAAAGAUCGCCUGAAUAUAUUUGUAUAGGUUGACUUCAGGGCUCUCUAUUCCAUUCCACUGGUCUAUUUGUCUAUUAUUUUACCACACUGACUUGGGUACUGUAGCUUAACAGUAAGUUUUGAAGUCUAGUAGAGUCAGUUGUCCAACUUUAUUUUUCUCCUUCAAUAUAUUUCUUGCUCUUCUCUGUCUUUUGCCUCUCCACAUAAACUUUAGAAUUAGUUUGUCAACAUCCACAUGAUAACUUGGUACAGCUUUGAUUGUAAUUGCUUUGAAUCUAUAGAUCAAGUGGAAGACCUGACAUAUUGACAGCAUUGACUCUUUCUAUCUAUGAACAUGGAAUAUCUCUCCAUUUAUUUAGUCCUUUGAUUUUGUUUAUUAGGAUAUUGUAGUUUUCCUCAAUGUAAAUUGUACAUAUUUUGUUGGAUUUAUAGCUAAGUGUUUCUUCUUUGGCGUGCUAGUAUAACUGUUAUUGUGUUUUUGAUUUCAUAUUCACUUGUUCAUUACUGAUAUAUAGGAAAGAGAUUGAUUUUAGUAUGUUAACCUUGUAUCCUACAACCUUGUUACAAUCUAUUACUAGUUCCAGCAGAUUGUCAAUUCUUUCAGAUUUUCUAUAUUUCUGUGAACAAAAAUAAUUUUAUUUUUUCUUUUCCAAUCUAUGUAUAUUUUAUUUCUUUUUCUUGUCUGUUUUCACUAGCUAGAAAUUCUGAUAUUAUAUUGAGAAGAAGUUGUAAGAGGGGGCAUCCUUGCCCUGUAUCUUAUCUUGUUGGAAAGCUUUGAGUCUCUCACCAUUAAAUGUGAUGUUAGCAGUAGGUUUUUAAAAAAAUAUUAUUUAUCAACUUUAACAAAUCCUCAGUGGCUUUUUCAACAAUGUGAAUGAAAAAUUCUUUGGUGUUUCUUUAAUAUGAAAUAUGAAGAAAUUGGAGCUUAAGUGAAGAAGGUUGAACAACCACAUCCAAAAAAUGUUCAUCAAUUAAUCACCAUCAGUCUGGAGAGAUGUCAUUUUGUUGGGAUAUGAAGUUUUACACUUCGUCACUUAUAUUCAGUAUUCUUGUCAAUAUGUUACCUAACCAAGGAUUGCUAUUCAAAACUGUAGGUAGUAAGGAGUUAUGAAGAAAUAUCUAUUUUGAGUAAACACGUCUGUGUUGGCUCCCAGGUGUAUUAGGUACAUUGUCAGGUAUUGUGAGGGUGCCAAAUGUGACGCAUGAUCAAUAAGCUUGAUGCUAAUGUAUUUCUCUAGGGGAUAAAAUAAUUGUAUGCAAGGCAAAACCUGUCAGGUCAUGAGAUCCUUUUUCUCGCCUCCUCAUCUGCCAUUUUUUUCUUUCUCACCACGCUAAGAAUGCUGGAUUCUGCUUCUUUCAUAUAGUGUCACUUAUAUGUGGAAUCUAAUUUUUGAAAUAAUACAAAAGAACUUGUUCGUAGGACAGAAUCAGACUCAAAGAUUUUGAGGUCAAAUUCAGGGUUACGAAAACGUAAACUGAGGGGGGAAGGGAUAAAUUGGGUGAAUGGUGUUGGCACAUAAACACUACUAUAUAAAGGAGAGAUAGUUAACAGG
rnacentral:lncRNA from 1 species